rnacentral:lncRNA from 1 species
UCUUCCUCUCCGACUAACUGUAGGGUACUUAGGUUUAGGAAUAAAAAUCCAGAUCAUCUCUUGUUUGUAGGGUAUACUUUGGACCUAUAAAUUGCCACUGGAAGCUUUUAUUUCGAAGACUAAGACUAUAAAUUGUGUACCCUAAACCAAGGUAUUGAUCUAUUGUGAGAUCAUCAGCAUUGGACAUCACCAUUUGCGACCAAGGUUUAGGAGCUUUGUGCAGCUCAUAUGGUUAUGAGUGGAUGGCUUGCAGACUUCGUAGUAAUCUGCGUCUUCGAUCUUAAUGUUGUUG